UGUGCGUGUGAACACUCUCAAGACCUGCUCCGUUUAUGUAGUUAUUUCAAGAGACAAGGUUUCUCCUAUCAGGGUCGGGCUUCCAGGCUGGAUGGAGUGCCCUGGCGCGAUCUCGGCUCACCGCAACCUCUGCCUCCUGGGUUCAAGCGAUUCUCCUGCUUCAGCCUUCUGAGUAGCUGGGAUUAUGAAGGGGUGGCCUGCCCCUCCACAUCUGUGGGAUAUCUCAUCAGAGAUGCCAGUGGGGCUUGAGAUUGAAUCACUUGCCCAGGCUCCCACUGCUGGUAAACAGUAGAGGGGGCUCCUGACCCAUCAGUCUGGCUUGACAACCCAUUCCCUCAACUGCGGAUCCCGGAUUCCCUUAUCACCCUGUUGAUUUCUCCAUAGCUGUGCCUUGAUGACUUACAAGCCCUCAAGGGGAAGCAUUUUCUCCUGGACUCCUUGAUGCCGGAGCUGCUGGUGUUUCCCGCCCAGACAGAUCUGCAUGAACACCCACUGUACCGGGCCGGACACCUCAUUCUGCAGGACAGGG
rnacentral:lncRNA from 10 species